rnacentral:rRNA from 1 species
UACAGAGGGUGCGUGCGUUACCCGGAUUUACUGGGUGUAAAGGGCGUGUAGGCGGUCUCUCAAGACCGAUGCUAAAGACCGAAGCUCAACUUCGGGGGUGCGUUGGAUACUGUGAGGCUAGAUGGUCGGAGGGGGUAGCGGAAUUUCCGGAGUAGCGGUGAAAUGCGCAGGUACCGGAAGGAACGGCGAUAGCGAAGGCAGUUACCUGGACGAUUGGUGACGCUGAGGCGCGAAAGCGUGGGGAGCAAACCGG